rnacentral:tRNA from 1 species
AGAGGCGCCCCUGCUAAGGGUGUAGGUCGCGUAAGCGGCGCGAGGGUUCAAAUCCCUCCUUCUCCGCCAUUU